AGCGCAGGUGGUUGUAUAAGUCUGAAGUAAAAAGGCAGUGGCUCAACCAUUGUGUGCUUUGGAAACUGUACAACUUGAGUGCAGAAGGGGAGAGUGGAAUUCCAUGUGUAGCGGUGAAAUGCGUAGAUAUAUGGAGGAACACCGGUGGCGAAAGCGGCUCUCUGGUCUGUAACUGACACUGAGGCUCGAAAGCGUGGGAGCAAACA
rnacentral:rRNA from 1 species